GAUGAACGCUGGCGGCGUGCCUAAUACAUGCAAGUCGAGCGAACAGACGAGGAGCUUGCUCCUCUGACGUUAGCGGCGGACGGGUGAGUAACACGUGGAUAACCUACCUAUAAGACUGGGAUAACUGCGGGAAACCGGAGCUAAUACCGGAUAAUAUAUUGAACCGCAUGGUUCAAUAGUGAAAGACGGUUUUGCGGUCACUUAUAGAUGGAUCCGCGCCGCAUUAGCUAGUUGGUAAGGUAACGGCUUACGAAGGCAACGAUGCGUAGCCGACCUGAGAGGGUGAUCGGCCACACUGGAACUGAGACACGGUCCAGACUCCUACGGGAGGCAGCAGUAGGGAAUCUUCCGCAAUGGGCGAAAGCUUGACGGAGCAACGCCGCGUGAGUGAUGAAGGUCUUCGGAUCGUAAAACUCUGUUAUUAGGGAAGAACAAAUGUGUAAGUAACUAUGCACGUCUUGACGGUACCUAAUCAGAAAGCCACGGCUAACUACGUG
rnacentral:rRNA from 1 species